AACACUUGUAGAGGUUUGAUUCAGAAUAGAUCAGAGCUCCUGUUAAACAGCAGACAUUUUCAUGUAGUGCAGAGCACAUGGAUGACCAGGGCUUUAAUGUACAUCAUAACAAUUAUUAUUAUUAUUAUUAUUAUUAUUAUUAUUAUUAUUAUUAAUAUUAUUAUUAUUAUUAUUAUUGUUAUUGUUAUUGUUAUUAUUAUUAUUGUUGUUGUUGUUGUUGUUGUUAGUUAUUUCUGAUACAGUUUAACUAGGAUGUAAUGAAGCUAAACGCAGACCAGCUGCUCCACCUGCUCUGUGUGCUGUGUUGCUCUGCAGAGUGAGCAGGAGGAGGAAGAGGAGGAAGAUGCUGCUGUAGAUGCUGUAGAAUUGUGGAUGAAGGACACAGAGGGGAAGUCAGAGGGAGACUCCAGCUCAGGACUGCACCCGCACUCGCAAAUUCCAUAGCAACAGCUAAAGGAAGAGCCAAGAGUCUUACGCGAGAGGAUGAAGCUCUGCCAGAAGUUAUCCCUGUACUCAAGACUGCAGACAUCUCCUCGCUCUGGAACCUUCCACUGUCUAUAUCCAACUCUUACCUGCACCUUCACCUGACAUCUCGGUUAUCUUUCACAGAUGAUCUUAUUCUCUAUUGAACCUUAACGUUUCACAGUUAGGG